rnacentral:rRNA from 1 species
GUAGUCUCGCACAGAUGCAUAUCAAUAAGCGGAGGAAAAGAAACUAACAAGGAUUCCCUUAGUAACGGCGAGUGAAGCGGGAAGAGCUCAAAUUUGAAAUCUUGCAAGGUUUACCUUUGACGAAUUGUAGUUUAAAGAAGUGUUUUCUGUAGAAGUUUGGUAAUAAGUUCUUUGGAAUAGGACAUCAUAGAGGGUGAGAAUCCCGUAUAUUGACCAUUAUUUGUCAGCUGUGUGAUACACUUUCAAAGAGUCGGAUUGUUUGGGAAUGCAGCCCAAAACGGGAGGUAAAUUUCUUCUAAGGCUAAAUAUUGGCGAGAGACCGAUAGCGAACAAGUACUCGUGAGGGAAAGAUGAAAAGAACUUUGAAAAGAGAGUUAAAUAGUACGUGAAAUUGUCAAAAGGGAAGCGUUUAACACCAGUGUUGUUUUCUGAAAAUCAACCUCUGUUAGCUUUAUGCAUGUUUGUUUAGACCUAAUCAGCUAUCUUGCAUGUUCUAUUGUUUGCAGUGGUGCACUUUUCAGUUUACAGGUCAACAUCAGUUUUUUUUACCGUAAAAAAGUUAAAGAAAGGUAGCUCAUGGCUCCGGUCGUGAGUGUUAUAGUCUUUUUCCUAUGCGGUAGGAGAGACUGAGGUCUGCAGUGUAGGCUAUUUGGCUAGAUACUCAGGUGCUAUGUGAUACCAUUUACAUAAACAACUUGUUGAUUAUGUUUUGUCUAUUGCAUACUCGCUUGUACUAUCAUACCUACGCUUAGGAUGUUGAAGAUGUAGCACAUCAU